rnacentral:rRNA from 1 species
GGAAUGAAAGAACUUGAAGAGAGAGUUCAAAAGGGCGUGAAACCGCUUAGAACGAAACGGACGGAGCCGUCUGGUGCCUUCGGGAAUCAGUCGUACGAUAAGCGAAUACGUUCGCGGUUACCGUAACGCAAGUACGGCCGCGGCGGUUAUAUCAGUAGCUUCCGUGCGGCGCAUUUCUCGAAGGUUAGCAUCGCGACCGGUACGAACGACCGGCGAAGCGGUCGGAUUGAGGUCGAGACUCGUCAAAGUUUCUCGUAACCAGUCCUUUCGUGUCGCCGGAUCUAAGUACCGAGCGCCUAGUUCUAUAUAAUGCGUCGGCUGUAAAAGCUCGUCGAGUAGCGGAUAAUCGGCCUAUUUAGUCGGUACCUGCUCGCAGGUGCUAGCGAAUUGGGUUCGGUUUUUGAAGCUGCCGGCGACGUUUCGACGUAUAGGCGUCCGCGGUGUCGGCGUCGGUCGCCCGUCCGACCCGUCUUGAAACACGGACCAAGGAGUCUAACAUAUGCGCGAGCUAUCGGGCGGAAAACCCGAAAGCGCAAUAAAAGUAAACGCCGUCCUCGCGUCGGCUAAGGUACGAUCCUAAAUCUCGAAAACGGUUUAGGCGCAGUACCGUCCCGUCUCGACCGCUCGUCGGUAGGGCGGAGAUAGAGUGCAUACGUUGGGACCCGAAAGAUGGUGAACUAUGCCUGAGCAGAGCGAAGCCAGAGGAAACUCUGGUGGAGGUUCGUAGCGGUUCUGACGUGCAAAUCGAUCGUCAGACUUGGGUAUAGGGGCGAAAGACUAUCGACCUCAACGGGGGGUUUUCUUCCCAAAAAAAA